GCCGAUGUAGCUCAGUAGGUAGAGCGCGUCCUUGGUAAGGACGAGGUCACCGGUUCGAGCCCGGUCAUCGGCUCCA
rnacentral:tRNA from 1 species